UCUUGGUUAUUUAAAAACCCCCUCCGCCGAAUCGCUUCGGUCCAAAUCUGAUCCGAAGAGCACAGCACAGGCAUUGGGAGACGAAGAGACAUGUCUUCCAGGGUUUUUGCAAGGUCUUGCAGUGCUUUCAUGGCGGCCAUCAAGAGCUCCACCGCAGCCUCAAUCAUUGCCACUAGGAAUUUCAGUAGGCUAAUCGAUGUAAAUGAGGUUGUAUCAAUAUCACCGGCUCUUGGGAAAUUCCUUGGCAGUGUCUCGAAAUCUUCCCGUCAUGAUGCCACAAGGAAGCUCUGGGAAUACAUCCAGCUGAACAAGCUCCAGAACUCGGAAAACAUUAGAGAGAUCAGAUGUGAUGAGAAUUUGAAGACCCUCUUUGAAGGGAAAGAGAGUGUCGAUUUUUUUGAGAUAACCAAAUUGUUGAAUGAGCAUUUCCUGAAGUGAUACUUUUUUAGUAUCUAAAACGAAAUAGCGGGGCUGGAGGAUGACUGGAAACUGGAAUGAGGAUCCUAAUUGGCAAACUGGGUUCCUGGCUUUAACACUUGAUAUGAGCAAAGAGCUUACAACCGGGUUAAAUGGGUUUUCUUGGAAAUGUGUGCAGAAGGUUUGUCUUGGGCGUUGAGAAGUGCCAAUUGUCAAGGACAACUAACGGGUUUGAAGAUUUGUAGACAGACGCCGAGGGUAUCAGGUGUAUUUUUUGCAAAUGAUUCCAUACUUCUUUGCAAAGCAUCAUUCGGGAGAAAGUAUUAAAUACCACAGGUAUGGUAUCCUGGGGUCAUCCCAGCCCUUGAAUGUAGUGGGGCCCUCCCCUACAUCCAUGAUCCAACCACUCUUACUCCCCCGGGGUACCAUACCCGGGGGUAUUUAAUACCUUCUCCCUGUUCCGGAGGUUUCAAAGAUGAAAGCAGUAUUAAAGUGCUACGUCCGGGCAACAAAUUAAUUUUGAAAUGUCGGCAGUCUUCUUUACCAAGAAUACUAGUGCAGAGGUUCGGGCAUCUAUUUGUUCUUUAAUUGUCAUAUACAGGGAGGGGAUGCAAGAUAAAUAUAUGGGUUUGCUGGCAAUCAUUUGUUUUUGAAAGAAAGAAGUCUUCUGAUACAUUGAGGAGAAAUGCAAGCAAAGUUGAAAGGUUGGAACAAAGAUCUUGUCACAAACCGGUAAAGACAUUCUAAUAAAGGCGGUGCUGUCUUCAAUGCCGAUGACACAAUGCAAUGUUUUCGGCUCUCUUCUAUAAUAUGUAAGAAUGCCAAGCUGAUUAGGAAUUUUUGGUGGGGCAAUGGUGAUAAGACACGAGCUCAUUGGAAUGAUGGAAGAAGGUGUGUUGCCAAAGGAAGCGGGAAGGCUUGGCUUUCGUGAUUUGGAAGCAUUUAAUCUUUGUCUACUUGGUAAGCACGCAUGGAAUUUUGAAGUUGAGAGGAAGGGACUGCACUAUCGAAUUUUUAAGAGCAAAUAUUUUGCCAACUGUUCUUUUCUAGAUUCUCCUACUCGGAAAAGUUUUUUACGGGCAUGGUCUAGCAUUGUUGCGGCUAAGGAGGUACAAUGGGUUGUGGGUAAUGGUAACUCAAUUUGGGAUAAACGUGGAGAAUCAGUGCAUAAUGUCUCACAUGCAUAAACGUGGCGUGGCAUCUGGAAAUGUAGAGUCCAAGGAAUAAUUCAGCGCUUUCUUUGGUCAUGCAUAGCUGAUGCUCUUCCGGUGCUAGCAAACCUUCAUAAACAUGGAAUGGCAGUGGAGGAGCAUUGGCCACUUUGUGGAGCAGAAGCAGAAUCGGUGGAGCAUCUGCAUCUCCAAUGUGUGCGGGCUGCAGAGAGGUGAAGCAAAGCAAGUUGGGUGCCGCCACCUAUGGGUUUUCUCCUCUUGUAAUUGUACCCUUUUUUAAUAUUUUUAUAAAAUACCCCAUUCUGGGAAAAAAAAAAUUUCUAAAAAGUUGUAAUAUAAAUGCUGCUUUUCGAUCA